GGCGAACGGGUGAGUAACGCGUUGGUGACCUGCCCCGAAGAGAGGGAUAGCAGUUCGAAAGGACUGAUAAUACCUCAUGUGGUUAUUGGUUUUAGAAUCUGAUAACUAAACGGAUUUAUUCGCUUCGGGAGGGGCCUGCGUCCCAUCAGCUAGUUGGUAAGGUAAUGGCCUACCAAGGCGAUGACGGGUAGGGGACCUGAGAGGGUGGCCCCCCACAAUGGAACUGAAACACGGUCCAUACACCUACGGGUGGCAGCAGUAGGGAAUAUUGGUAAUGUGCGAAAGCGCGAACCAGCAACGCCGCGUGCACGAUGAAGGCCUUCGGGUUGUAAAGUGCUUUUAGAGAGGAUGAGGAAGGACAGUACUCUCUGAAUAAGCCUCGGCUAACUACGUGCCAGCAGCCGCGGUAAAACGUAGGAGGCUAGCGUUAUCCGGAUUUACUGGGCGUAAAGCGCGUGCAGGUGGUUUCGUAAGUUGGAUGUGAAAGCUCCUGGCUUAACUGGGAGAGGUCGUUCAAAACUGCGAGGCUUGAGAGUGGUAGAGGGAGGUGGAAUUCCGGGUGUAGUGGUGAAAUGCGUAGAUAUCCGGAGGAACACCAGUGGCGAAAGCGGCCUCCUGGACCAUUUCUGACACUCAGACGCGAAAGCUAAGGUAGCAAACGGGAUUAGAGACCCCGGUAGUCUUAGCUGUAAACGAUGUGAACUUGGCGUCGGUGGGUUUAAAUCCAUCGGUGCCGAAGCCAACGCGAUAAGUUCACCGCCUGGGGACUACGGCCGCAAGGUUAAAACUCAAAGGAAUUGA
rnacentral:rRNA from 1 species